UCCAGGGGAUAAAAUUAAGAAAACAUGGGUCAAUGAAAAGGGCAACCCCCUUAUUUCUCUUGAUUUUUCUUUUUUGCCACAGUAGAUAUCUUGGCAUCUGACCUGCCAGAAUGAAGAUUGGAAUGUGUGAUUCCAAGCCAGGAGGAAGUAAAUUCUAUGUACUGGAGCCCCAUGGUUACUUUUGGAAUGGUCUGCUAGAUUUGACCAGCGUUGGAAAGUGUGUACUUGAUGAUGGGUGAACAGUUAAGAUGGAGUACCAAGGCCAAGGGGCAGGCAGGCUCACAGAUGGACCUUUGGAACUAAUCCAGAUGCAGAGCAACUCUAAACUCAUCCAUCGAGCCAAAGGUUUGGGUCUGAAUGAAUGUCCAGGGAAGAAAACGUUAUUUUAGCUAACAGGAAGAUAUAGACAGCAUUCGGAAAAUUUCAGUUUUAAAGGGUCCUAACGAGCCUGGAGAAUUACUAUGAAGCCCUCUUCUUAUGAGAGGACAGAUCUGGACAUGUGUGGAUGGGUUUACCUAAGGUGAGGCUCACCCAUGGAAGCAACAGUGGCAAGCCCCAGCAAAGGGGAAUCACGGAGUCCAAACACAGCCUCUGAGGAACAGCAACUCUCCAUGACAAGUGGCAGAAACCCCAGGGGUUCCAAGGAUGUACCCCUUGGCCAACAAGUGGGAAAGUGCUAGACUCCCAUAUCUGUAUCUGCUUCUCUACUCUUCAUCACCUCCAAAUCUCA